rnacentral:rRNA from 1 species
AUUGAACGCUGGCGGCAUGCCUUACACAUGCAAGUCGAACGGCAGCACGGGUGCUUGCUCCUGGUGGCGAGUGGCGAACGGGUGAGUAAUACAUCGGAACAUGUCCUGUAGUGGGGGAUAGCCCGGCGAAAGCCGGAUUAAUACCGCAUACGAACUACGGAUGAAAGCGGGGGGCCUUCGGGCCUCGCGCUAUAGGGUUGGCCGAUGGCUGAUUAGCUAGUUGGUGGGGUAAAGGCCUACCAAGGCGACGAUCAGUAGCUGGUCUGAGAGGACGACCAGCCACACGGGGAGUGAGACGCGGCCCAGACUCCUACGGGAGGCAGCAGUGGGGAAUGUUAGGCAAUGGGCGAAAGCCUGAUCCAGCAAUGCCGCGUGUGUGAAGAAGGCCUUCGGGUUGUGAAGCAGUUUUGUCCGGAAAGAAAUCCUUGGCCCUAAUACGGUCGGGGGAUGACGGUACCGGAUGAAUAAGCACCGGCUAACUACGUG